rnacentral:rRNA from 2 species
UUUAAAUUGAGAGUUUGAUCCUGGCUCAGGACGAACGCUGGCGGCGUGCCUAACACAUGCAAGUCGAGCGAUGAAGCUUCCUUCGGGAAGUGGAUUAGCGGCGGACGGGUGAGUAACACGUGGGUAACCUGCCUCAAAGAGUGGGAUAGCCUCCCGAAAGGGAGAUUAAUACCGCAUAACAUUAUUUUAUGGCAUCAUAAAAUAAUCAAAGGAGCAAUCCGCUUUGAGAUGGACCCGCGGCGCAUUAGCUAGUUGGUGAGGUAACGGCU